GACGAACGCUGGCGGCGUGCUUAACACAUGCAAGUCGAACGGAAAGGCCCUGCUUGCAGGGUACUCGAGUGGCGAACGGGUGAGUAACACGUGGGUGAUCUGCCCUGCACUUCGGGAUAAGCCUGGGAAACUGGGUCUAAUACCGGAUAGGAGCCAUUUUUAGUGUGAUGGUUGGAAAGUUUUUUCGGUGUAGGAUGAGCUCGCGGCCUAUCAGCUUGUUGGUGGGGUAAUGGCCUACCAAGGCGGCGACGGGUAGCCGGCCUGAGGGGGUGGACGGCGACCUUGGGACUGAGGGACGGCCCAGACACCUACGGGAGGCAGCAGUGGGGAAUAUUGCACAAGGGGCGCAAGGCUGAUGCAGCGACGCCGCGGGGGGGAUGACGGCCUUCGGGUUGUAAACUCCUUUCGCUAGGGACGAAGCUUUUUGUGACGGUACCUAGAGAAGAAGCACCGGCUAACUACGUG
rnacentral:rRNA from 1 species